rnacentral:lncRNA from 1 species
UGGGGGGUGCAGGCGCAUGUGGGGGAGCCAGGAAAAUAAAGGAGAGAGAGAAGGAAGAGGAAGGGAGAGGAGGAAGAAAGAGAAGGAAAAAGGAGAAGGAAAAGAAAGAGGAAGAAAAAGAAAGAAGGAAGAGAAAGAGAGGGAAGGGAGGGGAAAAAGAUGGCGGAAAUUGCGGGAUUCGCCUGCGCGCGGUGAUGGACUUGACGGGCACGCGGCGAAAAUUACGGGGAGCGUAAAAAUGGAGAAUUGACGGGCCGGGGCCAGGACGGCGGGUCCGACGGAAGGGAAAGGAUUUGACGGAGCUCGGCGGUCGGAAAAUUUUUGGAAAGUGUUUUUAACGGGUGAUUUAACUGGGUGUAUUUUACGGGCGUUACACUAGGCCAGACGUGGGGUCCCAUGUGGGGGUGCAUCUCUAGGUUCGGGUAG